GGCCUUUCAUUUUCCAUGAUCGGUCCCUAUAUUCGCUUCGUCGGCUUGACCGACUAUGGCGAUAAACAGGCGAUGAAAUAAGCCGUUCGGACCCGGGGGCGGUACCCGGCGCCUCCACCAAAAACCGCUCUCCCAAAUGGGAGCGGCUUUUGCUGGGGGCGAAAUAGGAUCGACGAAGGUGUAAAGAUCGUACUUUUGCCCGGCAUUGUACCACCGUCAUCGGGCUAAACUUAUAGUUGCCAACGACAACUAUGCGGAAGCUCGUCUCGCUGCUUAAUGCAGUGCGAACGCUUCAAAUCAAGCCCUAGGGGUUCGCACUUCUAGGCGGGGUUCGGAGGUACCUGGCAACAGAAACCUCCACC
rnacentral:tmRNA from 1 species